CUACGUUGGAAAAAGAAGGAUAAACUCUGACCUAGAGCGGCCAGUUCAAGUAAAACGAACAGACAUAUAAUUUCUGAGGUUGGCGCACCUGUGUCUUCGAGAAUGUUGAACGCACGUAAAUUUAAUUCAACCGUUACGGAUCUUACAGUUUACGUGAACUUUUAAGGUUAGAAAUGAACAAUCGACGAAGGCGUGCCGACGAUUUUACGGAUUCCUUGAUUAAUUUUUAUCAAACAAAUGAGGAACAGAGUCAAAGUAUGUAUGAAACAUGUUUAAGGAAUAGUUUGGAUACUGAUUUUAGAAAAAAUAAAUUCUAUAAACAUAGCUCUACAAAAGAUAGCAAAUCAUCUUUUGAUUCUAUUAUUCUAGCAGGUCAUGUAGCUUCGCACCAGUAUGUUUCAUCUGAUGAAGGCAGAACUUGUGAGAAAACUAAUGGUUUAUAUAACAACAAUCAAACUGUUUCAUUAAAAGAUAUAUUGAGUGUAUCUGAUACUACAUCAUAUUUAUCUAUUGACUCUGGUUUAAAUAAAUGUAUAAAUUUGUUUCAUAACAAAUAUCUGAAUAAGAAACUUGAUUUUAAAGAACACACAGUUUCUGAUUCUACAUCACUUGAGACUAGAGGUAGCUACAGCAUUAAUGAUAAUAAUGUAAAAAAACACAAGACUGUAGAGAUACAAUGCAAUUUAAGUCGUCCACGUUCUAUGUCAUCAAAUACAUUGAAAAGGAUUACAUUGUCUAAUAUACAAGUUAGAAGAUCUAAGAGCUGCAUUAUAUUUAAUAGUGAUUCGAAAGGAGACUCCAAGUACAAUAUUAAAACUGAUCAGUUACUUUUAACAGAAACUGGAAAUGAAACAAGUAGCCAUAAGAGAAUGGAAACGAUUUCUUCAACUCUUGAUACACUAUCUUUGUCAGAAUCUCUUUCAGUAAAGGAUAAAUAUUAUUCUCCUAAAGAAGAAGAAAAAAAGUAUGAAUCAAUAAGCAGCGAGAAAAGUUCUACAGAAGAACUUAAUCCUUUCGAAUUAAGAACAUUUCUACAUUCACUGGAAGAUCCAAAACCGUUGAAAGAAGCAGAUAUGCUGAGACGCUUGUCUGUAAAUUUCUGUCAAGAUUCGCCAAAAAACUUUACAGAAAGAUUGUUAACAAUAAUUGAAGAAUCUAUUGCAAAUAUUGAUUCUGAGACAGCAGAUGUUAGUUUCUGCAAAUUAACUCAAGAACUUCGGAAAAUGUGUAAAUUAAUAGAAGAUGAGACUAUUGAAUGGCCCCAAUCUCCGAGUAUGUUGAUGUCUUGUAAGAAAAAAACAAGUCAGGAAUUUUUGUUUGAUCGCUCAAGAAAAUCCCUUGGCACUAUUGCAACUUCAAAUACAGGUCCAAUCACACCCAUUUCUUCUCCUAAUAUUAACAGUCCUAACAAAGUUUAUCGGCGUACACCGAAAAAAGUGGUAUACAAUAUGAAAAGUCCACUACAUGACAGUACAACUACAUUUGAAUCUUUAGAAGCAUUUUGCAAAGGAUUAUAUCCUGACGAACACAAAACAUUCCGUAUAGAGAAAAAAUUUCAAUCAGAUUCUCCUUUGAAAACUUUAAAUAAUAUUUUACACACAUGUGACAAUCAAAUGGCGUCUUUAGAGAAUUCGCCCAACAUUUACGAAAAACUUAAGGAAGCUGCUACAGCAUCUGCUUCAAAUGUGAUACGCUUACAUAAUGAGCAUGAAACGAAUCUUCAAAGGGAUCUGCUGCUGUCACAUAAAAAUCGUGGAAAAACCAACUCGAAGAAUACACCUGAUGUACUUAAACAACAAGCAAAAGUAAACAGCGAUAAUAAACGUUGUGAAAUCAAAACGGACGAUUUAGAAAACACAAUCAUGUAUGAAAUUGCAAAGAAGAGACAAAGAUGUUUGAACACGGCAAAGAUAAUGAUGGAAAUUGAUGCAGAUUUGAAAUCCACAGCAGCGCAGAAAAAAUGUCCGCAAAUUGUUAUCAGUCAAGAUUCUAAUUCAACUGAUUACGACCCUAAAUUCAUGGAAAUAUUAAAAUCUGUAAAAAAUUAUCAAGACUACCUGGACCAACACAAACCUCUACUCAAUUUUCUUCGGCAAGAAAGUUUGUACAGUUUCCCUUCUUGUGAAAAAAAAGAUAUCUUAAAAGUUAAUAAAAAGUUAAUAACUGAAAACUUUAGUACUGCUACCAAUGCUGUAACUUCGACUUUAUCUUCCAAUAAAGAAAAUAUAAAGACAUUACGAGUAUCAAAAUCUUCGGUAACAAAAAAGAAGAAUACAAGUCCCUCGUCAGCGAAACGAAAUAACAUAGUUGUUGCAAGACCAAAAUUAUUUGUGACACCUACAAAACCGAUCGGUAUCAAGAAUUACAAGACACGCUCAAAUCGCAUAUAUUUUCCUAAUCUGGGAGUUAUAUGUGACGAGAAUAAUAAAAGGCGUGAUCUUAGCCCUCACAAGAGUCUUUACCACCGGGAAAUAGGAAACUAUGAUCACGUAAUAUCGCCGGUCGGGACAUAUAUACGAGGUACAGAUCCUCAUCUAAUGAAAAAUUUACGUCCUAAAACGGACGAAAUGUUAUUAACGCCGAGAAAAAGGCAGACUACACAGCAGUUUUCUAGCUCUAAACCAAAAAUGAAGUUUCGAUUGUCACCAAAACCAAAAAAGAAGCAGAUCGAAACAUCGCAAAAAAAAGUAAAUAUCGAUCUUAUUUCGCAUCCAAAAGUGCAUUAUAAACUUCCAUCGCAUGUACACACUAUAAAAGAAACAGAAAAUCGGAAGAUAGGAAAUCGUGUAAACGAAUUAUUGCGUUCCACACAAGAUAAAAUUGUAAUUCGACACGAAGAGACUUCCAACUGAUUACGUGACUGCAUAGAGAUCUUAUGACGCAAACCAUACACCGUGCGCAAGUUGAAAGGCUCUGAUUUAUUUGUAUUAAUGAAAAGAAAAAAUAUAUAUGAUUUAAUCAAAUAAUCAUUAAUCUUUUACGAUCAGCAUAAUAAAAUGUAAAAUAUCGAAAUCACGGUGUAAAGAAAACAUAUAUAGAAAAACAAAGAAAAAUUAAAUGCGUUUAAUUCAGCAACCUGUUAGAAAAAGCCGUGCCGGCAGAGUUGACACGGCCCUGAACAAUUGCGCAUUGCACGCAUGUUGACGGUUGCACACGCCGCGCUUUGCGCUCGUCAAACCGCUCGGAACCAAGCCCGGAUCAUAGUGGGGACCGAUCGAUAAAUUCAGUGUUGGGCGUUAUAUCGGCAAGUUAGUCGAUCCUCAGCAUUAUCUGACUGUUCGAGCUUUGACAAGCCAGCCAAAACCAGUUAAGAUGCCGGGACCAGGAUGUGACAAGUGCAAAGACAAAUGUCAGGAUGGUUGCAAGUGUGGUGAUAACUGCGGAUGCUGCGACUCUGGAUGCAAAGACCAAUGUGGCUGUAAAACGGGCGGACAAUGUACGUGCAAGCCUUGCUCUUGUUAAUUGGUAACCGUAACAAGGACAUAUCGUAUAAUAUCUCUAUUAAAUGAUACAAUAUAAAAUUAUAUACUGAAUGAAGUUCAAUAUGUGGAAAAACAAAACAAAAAAAAAUUGGAAAACUUAUAUUAAUGGGUUAACUUUUAUGCUUAAUGUGAAAUAAUUUCCACUAUUAUACGCUUUUUACUAGAAAUAUAAACAACUAAUAAAUAAUUAAUUCUAAAACUUUA